rnacentral:rRNA from 1 species
AUUGAACGCUGGCGGCAGGCCUAACACAUGCAAGUCGAGCGAGCGGCGGACGGGUGAGUAAUGUAUGGGGACUGCCCGAUAGAGGGGGAUAACUACUGGAAACGGUGGCUAAUACCGCAUACUAUCGGAUAACCCAUAUGGGAUUAGCUAGUAGGUGGGGUAACGGUUCACCUAGGCGACGAUCUAUAGCUGGUCUGAGAGGAUGAUCAGCCACAUGGUGAUGGAGACACGGCCCAGAUUCCUACGGAGGCAGCAGGGGGGAAUAUUGCACAAUUGGCGCAAGCCUGAUGCAGCCAUGCCGGGUGUAUGAAGAAGGCCUUAGGGUUGGAAAGUACUUUCAGCGGGGAGUCGUUACCCGCAGAAGAAGCACCGGCUAACUCCGUGUCAGCAGCCGCGGUAAUUC